AUUGAACGCUGGCGGCACGCUUAACACAUGCAAGUCGAGCGGUAACAUGGGUAGUAGCAAUACUAUCUGAUGACGAGCGGCGGACGGGUGAGUAACACGUAGGAACUUGCCCAGUAGAGGGGGACAACCAAGGGAAACUUUGGCUAAUACCGCAUAUACCCGAGAGAGGAAAGCUUCCGCAAGGUGGCGCUACUGGAGAUGCCUGCGUCCGAUUAGCUAGUUGGUGAGGUAAUAGCUUACCAAGGCGAGGAUCGGUAACGGGUCUGAGAGGACGACCAGUCACACUGGGACUGAGACACGGCCCAGACUCCUACGGGAGGCAGCAGUGGGGAAUCUUGGACAAUGGGGGCAACCCUGAUCCAGCGAUGCCGCGUGAGUGAAGAAGGCCUUCGGGUCGUAAAGCUCUUUAGGCUGGGAAGAAGGUUAGUAGUUUAAGAGAUAACUAGCUUGACUGUACCAGCAGAAUAAGCACCGGCAAACUCUGUGCCAGCCGCCGCAGUAA
rnacentral:rRNA from 1 species